UGGGGAAUAUUGCACAAUGGGGGAAACCCUGAUGCAGCGACGCCGCGUGAGUGAAGAAGUAUUUCGGUAUGUAAAGCUCUAUCAGCAGGGAAGAAAAUGACGGUACCUGACUAAGAAGCCCCGGCUAACUACGUGCCAGCAGCCGCGGUAAUACGUAGGGGGCAAGCGUUAUCCGGAUUUACUGGGUGUAAAGGGAGCGUAGACGGCCAGACAAGUCAGAAGUGAAAACCCGCGGCUCAACUGCGGGAGUGCUUUUGAAACUGUUUGGCUGGAGUGCAGGAGAGGUAAGUGGAAUUCCUAGUG
rnacentral:rRNA from 1 species